rnacentral:rRNA from 1 species
AGCGAACGCUGGCGGCAGGCUUAACACAUGCAAGUCGAACGGGCAUAGCAAUAUGUCAGUGGCAGACGGGUGAGUAACGCGUGGGAACGUACCUUUUGGUUCGGAACAACACAGGGAAACUUGUGCUAAUACCGGAUAAGCCCUUACGGGGAAAGAUUUAUCGCCGAAAGAUCGGCCCGCGUCUGAUUAGCUAGUUGGUAGGGUAAUGGCCUACCAAGGCGACGAUCAGUAGCUGGUCUGAGAGGAUGAUCAGCCACAUUGGGACUGAGACACGGCCCAAACUCCUACGGGAGGCAGCAGUGGGGAAUAUUGGACAAUGGGCGAAAGCCUGAUCCAGCCAUGCCGCGUGAGUGAUGAAGGCCCUAGGGUUGUAAAGCUCUUUUGUGCGGGAAGAUAAUGACGGUACCGCAAGAAUAAGCCCCGGCGAACUUCG